AUCAGUUUGUUUUAUCUUUCUCCAGUUUAUUAUGAUAAUACGAAACAGCUGCUUUUUAAAACCUUAUGGAGCACCUGUAUAUGUAAUCAUAUUGAAUAAAUCAUUAUUAAUAAAAAUAGGUGUAUCUGUGUAUAGUAUCUCUCUUGGUAGUUGAUGCUUCCUGGUCUCCUAUUAGUGAUAAAGAUGGUUUUACAUUACAAAGGAGCACCUUCUAUACUAGAGUUACACAAAACGGAAUCAGAUAUUCUUGUACUUUAGCAAGAUUUAGGAUCUUGAUGUCAACAUUUAGAGUGUGGGGAAACUGAGAUAGAGAGAUCUCUGUCUAGUUUAUGGAGCACAAGCUUCUAGAUAUCUUAUAUCUCAGGAGACAUGUGAUAUACAUAUACACAUGCUGUUGUGGUCAUUUUAAUAAAAUUAAAUUUUAAGGCAAUUAUGGUUUACACAGCCUGUGGAUUAUUAUCAUCAUCUUUGAUAUUAUGUAAUUUAUUGGCUGAUGGAAGAAGUUCACUCGUUUAAACAAGCAGUACAGUUUAUGUGUUAUCUCUUUUAAAUCUCCUUCCUUCCCUAGUCUUCCCCCCUCUCUCUCUCUAUCCCCUCAAGCUUCCCCUCUCUCUCUGUCCUCUCCUUGUUUCAACUGCAGGCACUCAUAAAGAUGUACUUGACAGUAGUUCCAAUGUUGAAUGAUGUAUUUAAAUAUGUUUGAUCACACAAAUAUUGUUCAAUUACAGUUUGAUGUCUGUCUUUGAUGAUUGCAUCACAAGUUGGUCUGGAAGUGAAAGUAUGUACAAAUCUAUGUAUAGUUGAGUAGAGUCAGAACUAUAGUGGAGUUACAUAGUUCUGUAUCCCAUGAAAUACAAUUUGUACCAUUUCUUGUAAGUACAUCAUUUGUGGAAUUUCAGUUGCACUAUAGUUUAGUAAAAUAAGACUAAAAAUGGCAAGUGAUGAAAGAAAAGCUCAUGUGUUAUUAUGGUAACCAUUUUGUAUAACUUGGCAAUGUAUUAAAGUUGUGGUUUAUACUGAUGUGGUGUAAUGAUGAUGCAACUGCAUAGAAACUGAUGCUGAAUGUGGUUUUAUGAGUGUAACUAGGAACUUCUUUCCUCCCGGUAGACUGGUACUUUGUGAUGUUUGUUUUUGUGUUUUGACUAACGUUUACUGUUUGUGGUACCUAUCAGUUAAAACACACAGUUGUGGGCGACUAGUCGUGGUUUCAACUUAUGAGUUCUCUCUGGAUCCAUCUCUCUCCUAUCUUUAUCACCCUCAGGAGAGAAAUUGAGACGGAGCGAGCGUUACAAGCUUUGAUGCUGCUCGGAAACAGGAAAGUGCCCCCAUGCUGAGCCAGUAAACAUAUCUAUAAGCUGCUAAAAGCAUUAAUUGAAAUGAGUGUAAUGGAAUAGAGGUAUUGUGUAUCACUGAUAACAGUUAGGUGAGGUCAGACAUGUGCUUAAACUACAGCACUGCUUUAUACACAACAU